UAACCUGCCCAAGAGAUCGGGAUAACACCUGGAAACAGAUGCUAAUACCGGAUAACAANAGAUGAUGCCUAUCAACUGUUUAAAAGAUGGUUCUGCUAUCACUCUUGGAUGGACCUGCGGUGCAUUAGCUAGUUGGUAGGGUAACGGCCUACCAAGGCGAUGAUGCAUAGCCGAGUUGAGAGACUGAUCGGCCACAUUGGGACUGAGACACGGCCCAAACUCCUACGGGAGGCAGCAGCG
rnacentral:rRNA from 1 species